rnacentral:ribozyme from 1 species
UUUUUUUUUUUUUUUUUAAUCCAUUGUUUUCAUAGAUAGAAGAAGUUGAGAAAUAAAGGAGCUCACAGACUCUUUGAGGCUGCAAAACAAAAUAGAAUA